rnacentral:tRNA from 1 species
AAUGAAAUGUCUGAUAAAAGAGUUAUUCUGAUAGAAUAAAUAAUAUAUAAUUAACUAUAUUUUCAUUA